UACGUAGGUGGCAAGCGUUGUCCGGAUUUACUGGGCGUAAAGAGCGCGCAGGCGGUCGUUCAAGUCGAGUGUGAAAGCCCCCGGCUCAACUGGGGAGGGUCAUUCGAUACUGAUCGACUCGAAGGCAGGAGAGGGAAGUGGAAUUCCCGGUGUAGUGGUGAAAUGCGUAGAUAUCGGGAGGAACACCAGUGGCGAAGGCGGCUCACUGGCCCGGUACUGACGCUGAGGUGCGAAAGCGUGGGGAGCAAACAGG
rnacentral:rRNA from 1 species